CAGCAGCCGCGGUAAAACGGAGGGUGCAAGCGUUAAUCGGAAUUACUGGGCGUAAAGCGCACGCAGGCGGUCUGACAAGUCAGAUGUGAAAUCCCCGGGCUUAACCUGGGAACUGCAUUUGAAACUGUCAGGCUGGAGUCUUGUAGAGGGGGGUAGAAUUCCAGGUGUAGCGGUGAAAUGCGUAGAGAUCUGGAGGAAUACCGGUGGCGAAGGCGGCCCCCUGGACAAAGACUGACGCUCAGGUGCGAAAGCGUGGGGAGCAAACAGGAUUAGAUACCCGUGUAGUCCCUGUCUCUUAUAC
rnacentral:rRNA from 1 species